rnacentral:rRNA from 1 species
UACGUAGGGGGCAAGCGUUGUCCGGAAUCAUUGGGCGUAAAGCGCGCGUAGGCGGCCCUGUAAGUCCGCUGUGAAAGUCGAAGGCUCAACCUUCGAAAGCCGGUGGAUACUGUGGGGCUAGAGUCCGGAAGAGGCGAGUGGAAUUCCUGGUGUAGCGGUGGAAUGCGCAGAUAUCAGGAGGAACACCAAUAGCGAAGGCAGCUCGCUGGGACGGUACUGACGCUAAGGCGCGAAAGCGUGGGGAGCGAACAGG